CAGAGUGGGGUCCCUGUCCCACCCCAUCCCCCCAGAACUCCAGCCCACCCGGGCAGCUGGGGGGAUCCACCUCCAUGGAAUGGCACCGUACCUUCCUCAGGACAAAGGUGAUCAUCCUGCAGGGAUGGAUGACACAAUCCAGGCCUUAGGCAGCUAUCGAGACUGAUGAUGGGGGUAUCAGGGGGCAGGAACAAGAAGGGUGGCAGGAGCGGGCAGGAGCAGCGUGCAGGGUGUGCUGACCCCAGGGCCAACAGUUGUGUUGUGCUGCUUGCUGGCUGCUGGCAGUUCCAGGUGGGACAUGGAUUGUGACGUGACAGUUGAGCUAGAGAGCCUUUGGUUCCAUGCUUAGCAACGUUCCCCCAGACCAUGGUGCUCAGAGCCCUGUUGCAAAGAUGGGGCAUCCACAGCCUGGGCCAGUGCCUCAGCAGCCUCAGUGGAAAAGAGCAGCUUCCUGAGAUCCAACGUCAAUCAGCCUCCUGCAGCUGAAAGCCAUCCUCCCUUGUGCUGUUGCCACAGGCCCUGUUGAACACUCUGUCCCAACCUUUCUUGUGGGACCCUUGCAGUCCUGCAGAGCUGCAGUCAGGCCUCCCCAGGGUCUCCUCUUUCCAGGCUGAGCAUCCCCAGCCCCACAUGGACAGCCGGCAGUGGGAUCAGGGGCAGUCCAGGCUGGAGUCCAGUAGCAUCAGGAACGGAGAGAUGGAAGCGUUAGGCCCAGGUUUGGCUGUUUGAAAGGAAGCUUGGCACAAUAUCCAUUGUCUUCUCCACUUGUGAAACACCAAGCGGAGUCUGGGCAAGCUGAUGAUGCAGAGGAAAACCUGCAAAUAUACUGGUGAUCCUGAGCCUGGAGGAUGCAGUUAAACCCAGCCAAAAGUAAUUUCUGGAAAGUCAAGCCUGCUGUACAUUUUCUUGAGUUUGGCUAUGCAGCUUUCACCUGAGUCUUUUAAAAAAGCAAACAAAAAACUCAAACCAAAACAGACAAAAACCCAAACAAACAAACCCACGCAAACCAAUCAAACAAAUAGAUUAAAAAACCCCAAAUAAAACCAAAGGGAACGAGGAGUUAGUAUUACUUGUGAGGAUAUCACAGCAGGCAAAUGUCUGCUUCCCACCAUAAAAAGCCACAGAAAACACCUGCUCCAAAAUAUGCCCAAGAGGAGAACCAUAAAAGUGAUACAUAGCAACUUUGGGGGCAGCUCCCCAUUAAGGUGAGGGAUGAGCACACAGUGGUACAGAUCCAGCAUUCCCCACCCUCCAGGCUGCUCUUUGCUCCUGAUGCAAGACCCUUGCAGGUCUGUGGCCCCUCUCAGUGCAUUAUAAAUCAUUCCCAGAGCUCUCAGUUGAGCCACUGGCAUUUCCAGAGCGAGAUCCAGGCACAAUCCUACUGCCUGCUGAGCCUCUCUGGGAGAUCCUGAGCAUCUUCCUGCCUAGAGCCACAAAAGAGCUCCAGCUCUCCCUGAACUGGGUUUUCAGGGGAGGUUUCCAUAUCCCUGUGAGAUGUGUUCAUCCCUCAACACAUCUGAUUUUAUGUACCAUGAUGUGUUUGGGUUCCUUCCUUACUCCUGUGUGCCAGUGAGAAACCACCCAUGUGAAUGGAGGGUAUUGUGAGCAGGAAAAUGCAUUCCUGGGUUGCUUUUUUGCUUCACUGUCACUCAGCUGAAUAGGGUCCUUAUCUUUUAGGGACUUACAAGAAUGGGUAGGAAUUUUGGCUCUGAGAGGAGCAGAAAGCACAUUUUCUGCACCACAUUCCCAACAGAUGCCGUUUCCCUGGGAAAAUAGUGACUGUCAUUCAUGUUCCUGGGAAGAUUGUGAAGAGCCAUUCAGAGAUGACAGGUCCACCUGGCCUUUGGCUUUGUGUACCUCAUUUCACAUGCCCAGUUUCAAGGGCCAUGAAAAGAGGCCACCUUUUGCCCUGGCAGUGCUGAUCCCUCCUGCUGAUGCCCUCCCUCAGCGUGGGAGGAAUGCAGAGCUGGUCUCAGAGAAGCACAGGGCUUGAGGGUUCCUGUGUCAUUUCCGUGUGUUGGUAAAUAUUGUUGAACCA